UUGACUUUUAUUAAUAUUUUUCAGUCGGUACAUAAAAUUGCUUCGACUAAACCCCAGACUAUAUCUCUUCAAUAGGUACCAAAAAUACUAGCUCCUUUGGUGAGCCUCUGGGUUCCUAAGGCUUUUGUAGUAUCUUUCAUAUUGGAAACGAACAAGGAUCUGCUUAUUGAUAAGGCCAGAGAGGCUCUCAAUAAAUACAAACACAAAUUGGUCAUUGCUAAUAUGCUUCAAAAUUAUAGA